AUUGAACGCUGGCGGCAGGCCUAACACAUGCAAGUCGAACGGUAACAGGAAACAGCUUGCUGUUUCGCUGACGAGUGGCGGACGGGUGAGUAAUGUCUGGGAAACUGCCUGAUGGAGGGGGAUAACUACUGGAAACGGUAGCUAAUACCGCAUAACGUCGCAAGACCAAAGAGGGGGACCUUCGGGCCUCUUGCCAUCGGAUGUGCCCAGAUGGGAUUAGCUAGUAGGUGGGGUAACGGCUCACCUAGGCGACGAUCCCUAGCUGGUCUGGGAGGAUGACCAGCCACACUGGAACUGAGGCACGGUCCAGACUCCUACGGGAGGCAGCAGUGGGGAAUAUUGCACAAUGGGCGCAAGCCUGAUGCAGCCAUGCCGCGUGUAUGAAGAAGGCCUUCGGGUUGUAAAGUACUUUCAGCGGGGAGGAAGGGAGUAAAGUUAAUACCUUUGCUCAUUGACGUUACCCGCAGAAGAAGCACCGGCUAACUCCGUGCCAGCAGCCGCAGUAACAC
rnacentral:rRNA from 1 species